AAAAAGGGUACUGCAGGCAGCGAAGCCGGGAUAGAGGUGGCUACGAGUGAAAUAUGGCUGCUCCUGGGAUCUCCAUCAUAAUCAUUAACUAUAUUAGCCUCCGAGCCAUUCUUCUGCCAUCUCUCUAGAUCAGACUCAAACUCAAAUAAAAAAUGGAUGCUUUAACUCCAAAUGAAAAUAUAUUCCUUUGCUGCUGUUUAAAAUCCAUUUACAUUAAAAUGAUGGCCAGUAGGUAAGUAAUUUAUAACUGGGGGCUCACCGCAGUGCAGAUGAGUGGCCUCUGAAUCGUGAGCAGCCUAAAUGGGAGACCGAGGGACGUGUGGACCCAAGAAGAGAAUGGUAUUGGACUGAAAAGGGGCAGGCAAGAAUAUGAAAAGGCAAAAGGGAACUAACUUGUGGACCCUCGAUGGCAGGGCACAGUGAACACAGAGGUAGCCUUGUAUCUCCACGGGGAGGUGGGGAAAAGCCUGCUGGUGGCUCCCCAGGAAUGCAGCCCUGGUUCAGAAUGUGCCAGCUGCCUGGGCCCCCGCUUUCAUCACCUGCCACCAGUUUUCUGCAUACUGUGGGCAGAGUCAGAAAACCUUCAUGAUGAUAAUGAGCUUGAGAAUGGCUCAGCCCUCUUGUUAGGUGGAGCCUCCCUAUUCUUUCCCGAUCCAGUUAGACUGAACCCAGAUUCCUAUUCCAUGGCCAAGGGGGGUCCAAAGCCUUUCUCUGUUCUGAGAGUCCCUGGAACUUUGUCCUUCACGCUGGUCUCUCUGUGCCUUCACUUCCUGUCUCCCACACCCAUGAACAUGGGGUGUGCAGGUCCACACCUGGUCCACACCUCUCCCACCACCUCCUUUGGACCAGAGGCAGCAUGAGUGUGAUGACUUCGCUGAAGUUCUGAGGGGCUUGUUGGGUGGGGGUCACAUUACCCCCCUUCACCCACUUAGUUGUCCUCUCCUUCCUCUCUCCCCCCACCCCACGUUUGUGGAGAAAUGGGUGACAUUUCCCUCUUUACUUCCUGUAAAAUAGGGCUACUCCACUGGGGCCUCCCAGGAUCACAGCUCCGACCUCAGCUCGACAGACUGUUGAGAUUUCUCCAGAUGUGGCAUGGAACCAGCUCUGAGCUUGCCACAGGAAGCCUGUGGGUCCUCUGUGGGGCCAACAUGUUGGUUAUGUGCCAUGUGCUGAGACCCACUCUUGAAUAUCUCCAGUUCAUUUCACCCAAGGAAACAAGAAAGAAAGAAACCUCAGAGGCCAUUUCUUGCCACCCGAGUUUAAAGAGCGGCUACAGUGGACCAUGUGAGCCCGAGGAGCAGUGAGACAGAGGCUGAAGAAUAAGGAUAGCGACAUAUUUAUAUAGCUCCUUGCAGUUUUGCUGAGCACUUUCACACGCCAGUCUCGGUGAAUUUUCACAACCACCUAUAAGGGAGGGCUAGCAGGGCAAGAAUGAGUUAUUGUUUCUAUUUAAUGAAGGAAAAGGCUGAGCUUCAGGAAAUUGGGUGAUAAACCUUAGGUUCACAGCUAUUUCCUGUAAGACUUGGAACUUGAACCCACUUUACCUGACUUCCACCUCAGAGGUUUCACAUACACUCCCUCUUUGCUCCGUGCUCUUCACAUCCGCAGAGAACUAUCUCUGGUUACUAUCUCUGGUUUUCCACAUAAUACAUGUACAUGAUGCAUGUAUGUUACAAUGUCCACACAAACUCCAGGAUUGGGGACAGAGAAAGAAAUCCAAGAAUUGUUUAAAAGCUGGAAUAUUUAAAACGCCCUCUCUCAUUCAGUGGUGGUUUCUUUCUUGCUUAUCAGCACCUAUGAUUAAAAAAAAAGAAGAAACAAAAAAAAAACAAAAACAAAAAAAGUGGGAAAAAAACAACAGUAAGAGAUUAUUUUGAAAUCUUUUUCUCUUUGCCUGUCUGUUUCUGAUGGUAAAAAGGUAGAGAAAAUAAUCAGAGGGAGUCAUAGAGAGAGAGGGAAGAAGAGGAGAUAAUCACUGAUUAUUAAUUUCUAUUCUGAGAGAAUUAGUUUUUAUUAAAAAAUUUUAAAAUAGCUCUAAGAUGAUUAAAAGGAAAUGGUUAGAAACAAAAAGAUUCCUCUCAUUUUUCUUCUCCCAUGCACGACACCCUGGCUUCACACAGCCAGCAAAUGGAGUGUGGUGCUUGACCAUCUCGUCCUUCCCACUGAGAGGGGCAUUCAGAUAGGGGCAAUGGCAGACCAACAUGGCCCUAGGAUCUGUGAGAGCAGCUGGACUAGGUAGAUGUCUUCCCAUCUUGUAGUGUUGUGAGAAUUAAAGGAGAUUAUGAGACUAGAUAAAAUAUAGCAGGUGAAAAGAUUUAAUGCAGCUCCUGGAAAAUAGUAGUUUAAAUAAAACCACGCACCCCGCUGCAUAGAAAAAUGUCUAAGAGGACACCUGCUAACCUGUUGUUAGUUGUGUUAGGCAGCUUUUCUUUACUGAGAUAAAAUGCCUGAUGUGAACAACGUAAAAGGAAGAGAGGUUUGUUUGGGCUCAUGGUUCGUGGGCUCCAUUGUGUCUUUGUCUGUGCUGACAAAGAUACAAUGUCAUGGCAGAGGGGUGUGGCAGCUCCCCUCAUGGUGGCCAGGAAGCAAAGGGAGAGAGCCAGGGGUUGGGGACCAGAAAUACCCUUCUAGUGCAUGUCUCCAGUGGCCUACGUUCCCCAAUAGGCCCCAUCUCCUGCAGUUGCCACCAGCUCCCCAUAAUGCUGUCAGUUCUGCACUUUAUUCACUAUUGAGGUCAGAGCCCUUAUGAGCCAAUCAUCUCCCCAAAGCCCUGGCUCUGACCACUGCUCAACACGUGAGCAUUGCAUUGAGGGAGAUUCCAGACCCAAAUUAUAAACAACAGCAUCACUCCUCACGAAGUCUGCACGUGGUAGAAGCACUUUUACUUUUUCACUGUGUGCAUUUCGCUUUGUAUUGCAUAGAGCAUUGUGGGAAUGGUGUGUGUGUGUACCAAUGGAUGCGUGUGGUGGCUCAAGUUAAAAGUAAGAACAGAUACACGGCGAUAAAGAAUGCGACAUUUUCAAUGCCUGUCUGUGCCAUUGUAAAGUCUGUUCUCAUCCCAAUGGAAUCAUAGAGGUUCCUCUGGUGGCAAGGGAUGGCAUCCACGGAAGAACAGAUGCCCUUCGACCUGGGCAAGCAGGAGAAUUGAGCAGCGUGGGUACGUAAGCAGGAGGCCUUCUACAAUUGUGAUCAGAAGAUGUGAGCUGGGGUUGUGGCUCAGUGGUAAAGUGCUCGCCUAGCACGUGUGAGGCACUGGGUUCGAUUCUUAGCACCACAUCAAAAUAAAUAAAAAUAAAGGUAUUAUAUCUAUCUACGACUAAAAAUAUAUUUAAAAGGAAAAAAAAAAGAUCAGAAGAUGUGUAAGAUGUCUCAGCUACAGUUGCCUUCCCAU